rnacentral:lncRNA from 1 species
CACACCCGCCCAAAAGAGCGGCGGCUUUUCGUCUCUGUUCAGCGGGGAAGCAGCGAGGUUCCCUCCAGAUAGCGGUGAAGGGCGGCUUCCUAACUUUGUUUCCCAAGUCCCCUAACUUCGGAAUGCUUCUGCAUUGGUUCUUGCUCAGUGUCAUACCAGCGACUCCAAGAGUCAUGUCACCCACUUAGCAGGAGUACUUCUACUGAAAUGCCUUCGAAUUUCUCUUACUGGAUAUAUACCUACCAGCCGCUAGCAUGAAGAUGCCAGGACCGCUGCAAGUUAGCACUGGACAAAGUAGCAUCAACUUCUUCAUUUAGAGUUUCUUCAGUUAAAUUGCUGGGAUUUUCGACAAGGCUUUCCUUAUGUGGAUUAUUGGAGUGUGAUGCCCGAGAAUUCUCUACUUGUAGAAGCACGCCCACGGGACUGCAGAAGCCUUCACACCCACCCAGCACGCUCAGAUCAUCCAGUAACCAACCCAGGAAGUUCUUGUAAGCAUGCAUUUCUUAGUCAACACUGAAUGCCUUUAGACCGAGGUCAACCUUUUCAGCUGGUACCGUGGUUUACACUGCUGGGUUGAUGGCCUAACACUGGCUUAACACUCAUGUCGGCUGCACUAAUUGAAGUCACAUCCAAGUGGGUCAAUGCACUGAACAUAUCUGAUAUAGAAGGUCCCAGAUCCUGAAUUUUUAUCAAUGGUUUGCUGUAUAAGGCUUGCCUCCCAAAUAGCUGAGGACCCUUAUUUGGGAAGAUACGUUCUGAUGGUUAAGCAACAGCACAGAUGUCGAUGGGAAUGAGUGAUGGCCAUCCAGUGACCAGCUGGAUCUGACUGCCUUACAAGACGCAUGUGUAUGAUUAAGAGAGAGACAUUCGUGACUCCCAGAUGUACCUCCUUCCUGUCCCACAGUGUUCCUGAAGGGAGUGAGUUAUGGGGUAACUUAUAACACAGCAGGCUCUUCCUCAAGAUAGCUCUUGUCAAAACAGGAAGACGAAACUCGGGUUUCCAUGAGGAGACCACAGCUUGGGAUCCUGUCUGGAUGUACAAGCAGAAGCAUCUUCAUACUUUUCCAUUUCUAACCAUCAUGCCUCACCCCACCCUCCCAAGGCGACAUCUGCAGAGAGGUGGAACCAUCUAGGGAGGCCUGCCACUGUUUGCUGAGCUCCGGGUGAGGAUGAAGACACUUUGACAUGGCCAGCUUCAGACUCGGGAUCUGUCGGUGUUAGCAGCCGAAGGAGAAUGAGGAGGAAGAGGAGGAGAAAGAGGAGGAGGAAGUAAGACAGAGGGGGACAAGAGGACCAAGAGGGCACAUGGCUGAGGAGGAGGAGAACAACAACAACAACAACAACAACAACAACAACAAGAAGCUUGGUGGUGAAACUUGGAAGCCCUCUCCAGGAUGCAGCAGGUAGCUGAGGAGAAAACGAAGACUGACCAGCCCAGAGCUCAGAGCUUCCUCCCAUGCUCAGGAUUUACCACCAAUGCCAUUACAUCGGCCUCUUCUUGUAUGCCUCUGGAAACCACAUGUGUCCUCUGUUUGUAAUGGUUUGGCUAUGGUUGCUGGCCCCUCUUGGACAUUGUUUUCAGAACUUAAAGAAACAUUGCUUUAAAGAUUUAUUAGAACAUAUUUAAAAUAAAACCAUCUUCUCAUUUAGUAUGCAAUUGAUUCUUCCCAUUUCCUCAGUCAAAACUCAUUGAUCAAAUUUAUUUGAGAAAUCCAGACAUGUAUAUAGCGUAUUGGGGUUAUUCCCAUCCUCCCCCAUAUUCUCUUAUCUCCCUUCCAGCCCUGACGCCCUCAGUCCUCCCUAUGGGCCUAUUCACACAAUCAUGUCUUUUUGUUUUAUGAACCAUUGAUUUUAACCGGGGCCAUCUGUGUUGCCAUGGCUUUAGAAUUAUCUACUGGAACUGGUUGGCUCAAAAUAGACAAAGACUUUCCCUUCCCCCAAGUCCAUCAUAGCUAGGAAUUCAGUCCCUCCGGUCCCCUCCCCAAUUCAUAAUUGACUGUUAGAAAGCCUAGUUUAAUGCAGGCCCUGUGUAGGUACCCAUAGCUACUGUGAGGUCACACCUGAAGAUGUGAAGCCCUUUUCCCUGUCUUCCAUUUCCACUUCUGUGUUCCCUGAGCCCUAGAUGGGAUAGUAUGAAUGUUCUGAUAAUCCGACCAAGUGGUAGUAUAUGUGUUCACUUAGAUAAAACAAAGACAAUACCAAUAGGAAAUGUAUUAUAAGCCCUGCACAUGCUAAAAAUAUAUGUAGCAAAUAACAUUAUUAUAUAAAUUCAGGGUCAUUGCUCUAUGUCAAUGUCAGUGACGUAUCAGUUUCAAAGGAUUUAUAUCACUGUUAAGUUAGAAAUAAUCCACUCUUGCUUGUUGUACAGUGCAUUUGUCCAGAUAGCCUACAAAAA